AGUGAACGCUGGCGGUAGGCCUAACACAUGCAAGUCGAACGGCAGCACAGUAAGAGCUUGCUCUUACGGGUGGCGAGUGGCGGACGGGUGGGGAAUACAUCGGAAUCUACUUUUUCGUGGGGGAUAACGUAGGGAAACUUACGCUAAUACCGCAUACGACCUGCGGGUGAAAGCAGAGGAUCUUCGGACCUUGCGCGAUUGCUUGAGCCGAUGUCGGAUUAGCUAGUUGGCGGGGUAAAGGCCCACCAAGGCGACGAUCCGUAGCUGGUCUGAGAGGAUGAUCAGCCACACUGGAACUGAGACACGGUCCAGACUCCUACGGGAGGCAGCAGUGGGGAAGAUUGGACAAUGGGCGCAAGCCUGAUCCAGCCAUACCGCGUGGGUGAAGAAGGCCUUCGGGUUGUAAAGCCCUUUUGUUGGGAAAGAAAGGCAGCAGGUUAAUACCCCGCUGUUCUGACGGUACCCAAAGAAUAAGCACCGGCUAACUUCGUG
rnacentral:rRNA from 1 species